UGGGGAAUUUUCCGCAAUGGGCGAAAGCCUGACGGAGCAAUGCCGCGUGAAGGCAGAAGGCCUACGGGUUGUGAACUUCUUUUCUCGGAGAAGAAGCAAUGACGGUAUCUGAGGAAUAAGCAUCGGCCAACUCUGUGCCAGCAGCCGCGGUAAUACAGAGGAUGCAAGCGUUAUCCGGAUUUAUUGGGCGUAAAGUGUCUUUAGGUGGCUUUUCAAGUCCUCCGUUAAAUCCCAGGGCUCAACCCUGGACAGGCGUUGGAAACUACAAAGCUAGAGUACGGUAGGGGCAGAGGGAAUUUCCGGUGGAGCGGUGAAAUGCGCUGAGAUCGGAAAGAACACCAAUGGCGAAAGCACUCUGCUGGACCGACACUGACACUGAGAGACGAAAGCUAGGGGAGCG
rnacentral:rRNA from 1 species